rnacentral:rRNA from 1 species
CCUGGUUGAUCCUUUCAGUUGCCACAUGCUUGUCUUAAAGAUUAAGCCAUGCAUGUGUAAGUAUGAACUAAUUCAGACUAUGAAAUUACAAAUGGCUCAUGAAAUCAGUUAUAGUUUAUUUGAUGGUAUCUAUUACUUAGAUAACCAUAGUAAUUGUAGUGCUAAUACAUACAACAAACCCUAACUUCUGGAAAGGAUGCAUUUAUUAGAUAAAAGGUCAAUGCGGGCUUUACCUAUUGCCUUAAUGAUUCAUGAUAACUUGACGGAUCACAUAGACUUUGUGUCGGUGAUGCAUCAUUCAAAUUUCUACCUUAUCAACUUUCGAUGUUAGGAUAGUUGCCUACUAUGGUGGUAAUGGAUGACAAAGAGUUAGGGUUCGAUUACAGAGAAAGAGCUUAAAAAACGGCUAUGAAAUCCUAGGAAGGCAGCAAGCACACAAAUUACCCAAUCAUGACAUGGAGAGAUAGUGACAAUAAAUAACAAUAUUAGGCUCAUGAGUUUGGCAAUUGGAAUGGUAAAAUCUAAAUCCAUUAACGAGGAUCCAUUGGAAGGCAAUUCUAGUCCAACAGUCAAAAUAAUUCCAGCUCUAAUAGCGUAUAUUUAAGUUGUUGUAGUUAAAAAGCUUGUAGUUGGGCCUAGGGUUGGUUCGCUCAGUUCAUUCAUGGUGAGCACUGGUCUACUUGUCCCUGCUAUUGGCAAUGUACUUUUGGCCUUAACUAUCCAGGUCAUUCCUUCACACUAUUACUUUGAAGAAAUUAGAGUGCUCUAAAAAUGCCUACGCUUGUAUACAUUAGCAUGGGAUAACAUCAUAGGAUUUCAUUCCUAUGGUGUUAGCCUUUGGGAUCAAAGUAAUGAUUAACAGAGACAGUCAGGGGCAUUCAUAUUCUUAGUCAGAGGUGAAAUUCUUGGAUUUAUGAAAGAUGAACAACUAUGAAGGCAUUUGCUAAGGAUGUUUUCAUUAAUCAAGAACAAAAGUUGAAGGCUCAAAGAUGAUCGAAUACCAUAUUAGUCUCAACCAUAAAUGAUAUUGAUAGGGAUCGAUGGAUGUUACUUUUAGGACUCUAUCAGCACAUUAUGAGAAUCAAAUUCUUUAGGUUCUAAAGGCAGUAUGGUCACAAGUUUGAAACUUAAAGAAAUUGAUGGAAGGGCACCACCAGGAGUGGAGCCUGCGGCUUAAUUGCACUCAACAUGGGGAAACUUACCAAGUCCAAACAUAGUAAGGAUUGACAAACUAAAAGCUCUUUCUUGAUUCUAUGGGUGGUGGUACAUGGUCGUUCUUAGUUGGUGGAGCAAUUUGUCUGGUUAGUUCCAUUAACGAAUAAGACCUCAGCCUACUAACUAGCUACAUAAAGGUGAUCCUUAGCUAGCAUCUUAUUAGGACUAUGGCUACUUAGGCAAAGAAAGUUUAAGGCAAUAAAGGUCUAUUACGCCCUUAGAUGCUUUGGGUCGCAUGCACGCUGAACAAAUGUAUUCAAUGAGUCUAUAGCCUUGGCUAACAAGCUCAGGUAAUCUUUGAAAUUUCAUCAUGAUGGGUGUAGAUCAUUGCAAUUGUUGGUCUUCAAUAAGGAAUUCCUAGUAAGCAUGAGUCAUCAACUUACAUUGAUUAUAUCAUUAUCCUUUGUACACAUUGUUCAUUGCUCUUAUUAAUUGAAUGGUCCAGUAAAGUGUUUGGAUUAUGGCAAAGUGGACAGUUCACUACCUGUGACAUUGUGAAAAGUCUACUAAACCUUAUCAUUUAAAGGAAGGAGAAGUCAUAACAAGGUUUCCAAAGGCAAACCUGGAGAAG